UGGCCUCCCAAGGUGCUGGGAUUACAGGCGUGAGGCACUGCGCCCCCAGCCCUGUGGGACUUUCAUUUUAAUGGACAUCUGCCUCUGGCAAAGAUGGAGUAACAGGUAUCUUCCUGCUUAAAACAACAACAGAGGGCAAAAUAUAUCAAACAACGGUUUUCAGGACACUGGAAAUAGGCAAUAAAGGAGAGUGGUCUAUGAGAGAUGAGAAACAAAUGAGGUGCCCUCUGAUUGUCCCAGCUUUCCUCGUGAAAGAGCUUCCAAGCUGUGGCGCAGCAGAAGGAACCUAAGCAAAGCUCGGAGAUUUCCUGAGUUGAGAAGGAGCUGAGUCUGGAGAGAUCAGAAAAUAUUAUAAAUUAGCGGUUUCUUUCUACAGGGUCAGAAAGUAAGUUAGCAGUUGUUAGGGCUGGGGUGGGGGCACAGAAGAGUGGAGAGUCACUUGUAAUGGGUACCAGGUUUCUUUUUGGGGUGAUAAAUGUUCUAAAAUUAGACUGUGGUGAUAGUUGCAGAACUGUGUGAAUAUACUAAAAACUAUUGAAAUUCAUUAAGUUGUAUACACUAAAUAUGUACAGGUUUUUGCAUGUCAGUUAUAUCCCAAUUAAGUAGUUUUUUUAAAAUCAUUGAGUUGUACAUUUUCUUUUCUGUGGGGGUGGGGCAGGGCAGGUCUCACUCUGUCACCCAGGUGGGAAUGCAGUGGCGGGAUCUCAGCUUAUUGAAGCCUCAACCUCCCGGGCUCAAGCAAUCCUCCCACCUCAUUUUUUGGAUUUUUUUUGUAGAAAUGAGGUCUCAUCCAGCCUGGCCAAAAUGGUGAAAACCCAUCUCUACUAAAAAUACAAAAAUUAGCNNNNNNNNNNNNNNNNNNNNNNNNNNNNNNNNNNNNNNNNNNNNNNNNNNNNNNNNNNNNNNNNNNNNNNNNNNNNNNNNNNNNNNNNNNNNNNNNNNNNNNNNNNNNNNNNNNNNNNNNNNNNNNNNNNNNNNNNNNNNNNAAAAAAAAAAAAAAAAAAAGGUCUCAUUACGUUGCCCAGACUGGUCUCUAACUUCUGGGCUCAAGCAAUUCACCUGUCUCAGCCCCGCAAAGUGCUAGGAUUACAGGCACGAGCCACUGUGCCCAGCUGAGUUGUAUAUUUUCAAUAGGUGACUUGUUUGGUAUGUAAAUUGUAUAUUAAUAAAGUUGUUUUAAAAAUUAAAAGUGAAAUAAAGACAUGUUCCGACAUGUGAAAGGGGAAAUAAUUCACAACAAGCAGACCCCAAUAUAAGAAAUGUUAAAGUAAGUCCUUAAGGCGGAAGUAAAAAGAAGGAACAGAGAUAAAGAUGAUGUCUUAUUUUUCAUUGGAAACAAUACAAGCAAGAAGACAGCAGAGUAACAUUUUUAAGUUCUUUUAAAAAAUUGUCAACAUAGAAUUCUAUAUCUAGAAAAAAUAUCUUUUAGAAAUAAAGAGUAGAAGAAAUGGUAGCUACAUGGGUAAAAAAUACGAUUUUAAAAAAAUUAUUUAAAACUGGCUGGGUGCGGUGGCUCAUGCCUGUAAUCCCAGCACAUUCGGAGGCCAAGGCGGGCAGAUCACUUGAGGUCAGAAGUUCAGGACCAGCCUGGCCAACAUGGCGAAACCCCGUCUCUAUUAAAAAUACAAAAAUUAGUCAGGUGUGGUGGCGGGCGUCUGUAAUCCCAGCUAUUAGGGAGGCUGAAGCAGGAGUUGCUGUAUUAACACCAGACAAAGUUGAUUUCAGACCAGUCUGGGCAAUAUGGUGAAAGCCUGUCUCUACAAAGAAUACAAAAAAUUAGCCAGGUGUGGUGGUGCAGGCCUGUAGUCCCAGCUACUUGGGAGGCUGAGGUGGGAGGAUCACCUGAGCCCAGGAGGCAGAGAAGACCAUCAGGUGAUCUAGUUAUGAGAAUCAGCAGACAAAGGCUUUAAAACAACAAUUAUAAGUAUGCUGAAAAUUUUAAAGGAAAAAAAAAGACACAAUAGGUAAAGAGAUAAGGUAUUUCAAAAGAAAUGGAAAUUCAAGAACAAAAUAAAGGGAAAUUACAAAAUUGAAAAAUAGAGUGUAUGAAGACUUACUGGAUGAGCUUAACAGCAAAUUAGACACUGCAGAAGAAAAAAAUAAGUGAAUUGAACAUAAGCUAAUACAAAUUAUCUAAAUUGAAGUGGAGAGAGGAAAAAAUGGUUGAAAAAAAUGAACAGAGCAUUAGCAAAUUGUGGGAUAAUAGUAAGCAGUCUAACAUACAUGCAAUUAGAGUUCCAUAAGGAAAAGAAAGAAACAAUAAGGCAGAAAAAUAUUUAAAGAAACAGUGGCUUAAAAGUUGAUGAAAAAUAACAAUCCACAGGUCCAAAAAGUUCAACUAACCCCAAGCAGGAUAAACUUCUUAAAAAUCAUACUUGGGGCCAGGCGCAGUGGCUUAUGCCUGUAAUCCCAGCACUUUGGGAGACCAAGGCAGGCAGCUCAUUUGAGGUCAGGAAUUCAAAACCAGCCUGGACAAUUUGGUGAAACCCGGUCUCUACUAAAAAUAUAAAAUUAGCCAGAGCUGGACGUGAUGGCUCACACCUGUAAUCCCAGCACUUUGGGAGGCUGAAGUGGGCGGAUCACCUGAGGUCAGGAGUUUGAGACUAGCAUGGCCAACAUGGUGAAACCCUGUCUCUACUAAAAAUACAAAAAUUAACCAGGAGUGGUGGUGGGUGCCUGUAAUCUCAGUUACUUGGGAGGCUAAGGCAGGAGAAUCAUUUGAACCCAGGAGGCAGAGGUUUCAGUGAGCUGAAAUCACACCAUUGCACUCCAGCCUGGGCGACUGAGUGAGACUCUGUCUCAAAAAAAAAAAAAAAAAAGAAAAAAGAAAAAAAUCACACUUGGUACAUCAGAGUAAAAUUGCUUAAAACCAAAAAUAAAGAGAA
rnacentral:lncRNA from 1 species